rnacentral:sRNA from 13 species
AUGGAAGUCUCUUGUCGAGAAUAUUCAUUCAUCCAAGGGCCUUUAAAAGCGAGGGCCGAGGGGUUCCUCACACCCUCCUCCAGAAUUUAACAGUUUGCUUGUGCUUAGUCAUUGUCUAUGCUGGCUACAACAUGAAGCUUUUGCUCUGAAAGCCAGCAAAGUCUUUGGCCAAUGCAUAUCUGGCAAACCGGCAAGUCACAGAAACGGCACGGUCACGACUCUUUUCUGGUUUUU